rnacentral:rRNA from 1 species
UACGUAGGGUGCGAGCGUUAAUCGGAAUUACUGGGCGUAAAGCGUGCGCAGGCGGUUUUGUAAGACAGGCGUGAAAUCCCCGAGCUCAACUUGGGAAUGGCGCUUGUGACUGCAAGGCUAGAGUAUGUCAGAGGGGGGUAGAAUUCCACGUGUAGCAGUGAAAUGCGUAGAGAUGUGGAGGAAUACCGAUGGCGAAGGCAGCCCCCUGGGACGUCACUGACGCUCAUGCACGACAGCGUGGGGAGCAAACAGGAUUAGAUACCCUGGUAGUCCACGCCCUAAACGAUGUCAACUAGUUGUUGGGGAUUCAUUUCUUCAGUAACGUAGCUAACGCGUGAAGUUGACCGCCUGGGGAGUACGGUCGCAAGAUUAAA